GACAAGACGGAGGAGCAUGUGGUUUAAUUCGAUGAUACGCGAGGAACUUACCUGGGCUCGAACGUAAGAUGACUGUAGGUGAAAGCUUACAUCUCUUCGGAGCAUUUUACGAGGUGCUGCAUGGUUGUCGUCAGCUCGUGCCGUGAGGUGUCGGGUUAAGUCCCAUAACGAGCGCAACCCUACCUUUAGUUGCCAUCAGGUAAUGCUGGGGACUCUAAAGGAACUGCCUACGCAAGUAGUGAGGAAGCGGGGAUGACGUCAAAUCAGCACGGCCCUUACGUCCAGGGCUACACACGUGCUACAAUGGCCGAUACAGAGGGCAGCUACCUGGUGACAGGAUGCAAAUCUCCAAAGUCGGUCUCAGUUCGGAUCGGAGUCUGCAACCCGACUCCGUGAAGUUGGAUUCGCUAGUAAUCGCGCAUCAGCCAUGGCGCGGUGAAUACGUUCCCGGGCCUU
rnacentral:rRNA from 1 species